rnacentral:rRNA from 1 species
CCUACGGGUGGCAGCAGUGAGGAAUAUUGGUCAAUGGGCGGGAGCCUGAACCAGCCAAGUCGCGUGAGGGAAGACGGUCCUACGGAUUGUAAACCUCUUUUGCCGGGGAGCAACGGGGUCCUUGCGAGGGCCCAAUGAGAGUACCCGGAGAAAAAGCAUCGGCUAACUCCGUGCCAGCAGCCGCGGUAAUACGGAGGAUGCGAGCGUUAUCCGGAUUUAUUGGGUUUAAAGGGUGCGUAGGCGGUAUUUUAAGUUAGUGGUAAAACGUCGGGGCUUCACCUUGAUUGGCCAUUAAAACUGGAGUACUAGAGUACAGACGAGGUAGGCGGAAUAAGUUAAGUAGCGGUGAAAUGCUUAGAUAUAACUUAGAACCCCGAUAGCGAAGGCAGCUUACCAGACUGUUACUGACGCUGAAGCACGAGAGCGUGGGUAGCGAACAGGAUUAGAUACCCGAGUAGUC